rnacentral:rRNA from 1 species
AUGCACGCUGGCGGCGUGCCUAAUACAUGCAAGUCGAGCGAACGGACGAGAAGCUUGCUUCUCUGAUGUUAGCGGCGGACGGGUGAGUAACACGUGGAUAACCUACCUAUAAGACUGGGAUAACUUCGGGAAACCGGAGCUAAUACCGGAUAAUAUUUUGAACCGCAUGGUUCAAAAGUGAAAGACGGUCUUGCUGUCACUUAUAGAUGGAUCCGCGCUGCAUUAGCUAGUUGGUAAGGUAACGGCUUACCAAGGCAACGAUGCAUAGCCGACCUGAGAGGGUGAUCGGCCACACUGGAACUGAGACACGGUCCAGACUCCUACGGGAGGCAGUAGUAGGGAAUCUUCCGCAAUGGGCGAAAGCCUGACGGAGCAACGCCGCGUGAGUGAUGAAGGUCUUCGGAUCGUAAAACUCUGUUAUUAGGGAAGAACAUAUGUGUAAGUAACUGUGCACAUCUUGACGGUACCUAAUCAGAAAGCCACGGCUAACUACGUG